rnacentral:rRNA from 1 species
AUUGAACGCUGGCGGCAGGCCUAACACAUGCAAGUCGAGCGGAGCGGCGGACGGGUGAGUAAUGCCUAGGACUCUGCCUGGUAGUGGGGGAUAAAGCCCGGAAACGGGCGCUAAUACCGCAUACUAUCAGAUGAGCCUAGGUCGGCUUAGCUAGUUGGUGGGGUAAAGACCUACCAAGGCGACGAUCCGUAACUGGUCUGAGCGGAUGAUCAGUCACACUGGAUCUGAGACACGGGCCAGACUCCUACGGGAGGCAGCAGUGGGGAAUAUUGGACAAUGGGCGAAAGCCUGAUCCAGCCAUGCCGCGUGUGUGAAGAAGGUCUUCGGAUUGUAAAGCACUUUAAGUUGGGAGGCGUUACCAACAGAAUAGGCACCGGCUAACUGCGUGCCAGCAGCCGCGGUAAUUC